rnacentral:rRNA from 1 species
AGCGGUAGCACAGAGAGCUUGCUCUCGGGUGACGAGCGGCGGACGGGUGAGUAAUGUCUGGGAAACUGCCUGAUGGAGGGGGAUAACUACUGGAAACGGUAGCUAAUACCGCAUAACGUCGCAAGACCAAAGUGGGGGACCUUCGGGCCUCAUGCCAUCAGAUGUGCCCAGAUGGGAUUAGCUAGUAGGUGGGGUAACGGCUCACCUAGGCGACGAUCCCUAGCUGGUCUGAGAGGAUGACCAGCCACACUGGAACUGAGACACGGUCCAGACUCCUACGGGAGGCAGCAGUGGGGAAUAUUGCACAAUGGGCGCAAGCCUGAUGCAGCCAUGCCGCGUGUGUGAAGAAGGCCUUCGGGUUGUAAAGCACUUUCAGCGGGGAGGAAGGCGGUGAGGUUAAUAACCUUGUCGAUUGACGUUACCCGCAGAAGAAGCACCGGCUAACUCCGUGCCAGCAGCCGCGGUAAUACGGAGGGUGCAAGCGUUAAUCGGAAUUACUGGGCGUAAAGCGCACGCAGGCGGUCUGUCAAGUCGGAUGUGAAAUCCCCGGGCUCAACCUGGGAACUGCAUUCGAAACUGGCAGGCUAGAGUCUUGUAGAGGGGGGUAGAAUUCCAGGUGUAGCGGUGAAAUGCGUAGAGAUCUGGAGGAAUACCGGUGGCGAAGGCGGCCCCCUGGACAAAGACUGACGCUCAGGUGCGAAAGCGUGGGGAGCAAACAGGAUUAGAUACCCUGGUAGUCCACGCCGUAAACGAUGUCGAUUUGGAGGUUGUGCCCUUGAGGCGUGGCUUCCGGAGCUAACGCGUUAAAUCGACCGCCUGGGGAGUACGGCCGCAAGGUUAAAACUCAAAUGAAUUGACGGGGGCCCGCACAAGCGGUGGAGCAUGUGGUUUAAUUCGAUGCAACGCGAAGAACCUUACCUGGUCUUGACAUCCACAGAACUUUCCAGAGAUGGAUUGGUGCCUUCGGGAACUGUGAGACAGGUGCUGCAUGGCUGUCGUCAGCUCGUGUUGUGAAAUGUUGGGUUAAGUCCCGCAACGAGCGCAACCCUUAUCCUUUGUUGCCAGCGGUUCGGCCGGGAACUCAAAGGAGACUGCCAGUGAUAAACUGGAGGAAGGUGGGGAUGACGUCAAGUCAUCAUGGCCCUUACGACCAGGGCUACACACGUGCUACAAUGGCAUAUACAAAGAGAAGCGACCUCGCGAGAGCAAGCGGACCUCAUAAAGUAUGUCGUAGUCCGGAUUGGAGUCUGCAACUCGACUCCAUGAAGUCGGAAUCGCUAGUAAUCGUAGAUCAGAAUGCUACGGUGAAUACGUUCCCGGGCCUUGUACACACCGCCCGUCACACCAUGGGAGUGGGUUGCUAAAAGAUGUAGUUAG